GCGGGGCUGGUCUAGUUUGGUAUGACCUCAGCCUUCCAAGCUGACGACCCGGAUUCAAAUUCCGGGCCCCGCA
rnacentral:tRNA from 1 species